ensembl:lncRNA LINC01376 long intergenic non-protein coding RNA 1376
ACUGCGCAAGCGCCACGCGCAGGCGCAAAAGGAACUCGCAGGCCAGUGCUGCUGGUGCCGGAGUCCGGAAGCUGACGGCGUUGCCUAGGCUGGAUUGCAGCGGUGCGAUCAGGACUCAUUGCAUCCUCAACCUCCCCGACUCAAGCAGUCCUCCCACCUCAGCCUCCUGAGUAGCAAGGCUACAGAGACCUGGGGGAUUUUAGAACAGGGCUUUCAAGGUAAUGAAGGAAGAGAAUCUUCUUUGGACUUCUUUUUGCUCCAGAUGCGGAGAAGGCAACUUCCCGGAGUCUCUACCAGUGAGAAGGCUACAGAAUCAUGGGCAGAUAAGGUCUCGCUCUGUGGCUAUAGCUCACUGCAGCCUCAAAUUCCUGCGCUCAAGUAAUCCUCCCACCUCAGCUUCCCAAGUAGAUGGGACUACAGCUCCAAAUAACCCCGUGAUUUUGGAUGAUUGAUUAUGGGAAUGCUGCUUUCACUGUACAUCCAAGCUCUCCUGGCCUCAGCGGAUAAGUAUAUGAGAGCACAGUUUUCCUGGUGUCAGGAUAUGAAGAUCCAGGGAACAAAGAACCUCAAAGAACAACACCUGGAUUGUCAAGGUUUGGCCAGCAGUGCACUUUCUCCAACCUUACAGUCAUACGCAAGUUGUGGUUCUCCUGUCCAGCCUGCCACCACUGGACCAUCCCUGUAUACAUUCCUUCUCCCUUUGAAGAAAUCCACAAAAGAAAAAGCAAAAUACUGACAAGUUUUCAAAGCCAUGAUUUACAGGAAUGAAUUCUGAAAAGCAAGUGGCUAACAUCCGAGUUCAUCAUCAAAUAAUAUUUCUAAAGCACCCUCUAGUGUCUGGCCCCAAGCCAGAUGAUUCAACGCCUGGAGAAGCUACAGACUUUUUAAAAGUAAAAUAGACUCAUGUCUGCUCAUGAGAAGCAAGUCAGCGUCAUUUAGGAUGCCUUAGGAAUGUCUCUCUAAAUAAGGAUUAAAAAUGGAUUGCUGUAGAAAAAGUAAUACAAGUACAAACACUAAUAAUAUUGAAUGCAAUUUAAAUUCCAUUUUAAAAUAGAUAAUAGGGUUUAAAAUAACAUGUUGAAAAUUACACUGGAAUUAGCAAAAUUUAAAAUCUUAGGAAGAAAAAUCCUAAUUUGUAUGUGAAAAUGUUUUGAACUGAGGAAAAUUAAGACUAGCAAGAGUAGAUAGGGGUUGUCUAGUAGGAAUGUUAGACCCAUCAGCCAUCUGAUUAUGCUGCGACUGAUACUAGCGUGUAGUUUUCACCCAGUAAAUUAUCAAGUGGUGCAGUAGAAAAAGCAUGGUAUGUAGAAUCAUAAGACUCAUAGUCUGGGGUCACCUCUACUACUCACUUGGCCAUGUGGUUUGGAACACAUCACAAAAGAUUUAUGAGCCUUCGCUUCUUCACAUCUAAAAUCGUGAUUAUUUUGCCAACUCCAUGGAAUUGUUUAGACUUUAGAGGAUUACAUAGGAUACAAUGGACUAGUUCCUUGAACAAGUACUUGCCCCCAAAAUGUUACCAUUUUUUCUGGUUGUGUGACUGAUUUUGCAAUCAGCAAUUUAAUAAUAAUGCAUUCAACAGGUUUAUAAUAUGCAUUCAAUGUGACUCUUGCAUAUAUCUCAUAAAAACAAAUUUGAAUAUUUUUCUCAUUUUAUCACUCACAUAUCUUUGAGAAUGGGAUCAUAGUUUUAUUUUGAUAAUGAAGUAAUAGAGUCAAUUCCUGAACAGGCUAGUUGACUUUAAUGAGAAAUACCCAUUUAUUCACUCAUUCAUUUCAUUUUCAACUCUUAAAUCCAUAAUGGCCCCUUCACUAACUGCACUAACUGGGGUUCUUAUAUUAAUAAGAUGGACCAGAUGCUUCUAUCACCUCCAAAAAAUCUUUGUAGGCAGAGCAAUAAAGAGUACUGAAUCAUUUUAAGAAGUCGCAUAGACAAUGACUUUUGACCAUGGAAGGACUGGGCUUGAUCAAGCAAAUUCUAUUUCAAAGUUUUACUUGCAAGGUUAUUUAUUACUGUGUGGAAUCUCACUCCUGUGGCUGGGGUCAAGAAAAAUGGGGACACAGGUGUCUGCCUAUUUGCACAG